rnacentral:rRNA from 1 species
UGGAGUUUGAUCCCCUGCUCAGGACGAACGCUGGCGGCGUGCCUAAUACAUGCAAGUCGAGCGGACAGAUGGAGCUGCUCCUGAUGUAGCGGCGGACGGGUGAGUAACACGUGGGUACCUGCCUGUAAGACUGGGAUACUCCGGGAAACCCGGGGCUAAUACCGGAUGGUUGUUUGAACCCGCAUGGUUCAAACAUAAAAGGUGGCUUCGGCUACCACUUACAGAUGGACCCGCGGCGCAUUAGCUAGUUGGUGAGGUAACGGCUCACCAAGGCAACGAUGCGUAGCCGACCUGAGAGGGUGAUCGGCCACACUGGGACUGAGACACGGCCCAGACUCCUACGGGAGGCAGCAGUAGGGAAUCUUCCGCAAUGGACGAAAGUCUGACGGAGCAACGCCGCGUGAGUGAUGAAGGUUUUCGGAUCGUAAAGCUCUGUUGUUAGGGAAGAACAAGUACCGUUCGAAUAGGGCGGUACCUUGACGGUACCUAACCAGAAAGCCACGGCUAACUACGUGCCAGCAGCCGCGGUAAUACGUAGGUGGCAAGCGUUGUCCGGAAUUAUUGGGCGUAAAGGGCUCGCAGGCGGUUUCUUAAGUCUGAUGUGAAAGCCCCCGGCUCAACCGGGGAGGGUCAUUGGAAACUGGGGAACUUGAGUGCAGAAGAGGAGAGUGGAAUUCCACGUGUAGCGGUGAAAUGCGUAGAGAUGUGGAGGAACACCAGUGGCGAAGGCGACUCUCUGGUCUGUAACUGACGCUGAGGAGCGAAAGCGUGGGGAGCGAACAGGAUUAGAUACCCUGGUAGUCCACGCCGUAAACGAUGAGUGAAUAAGUGUUAGGGGGUUUCCGCCCCUUAGUGCUGCAGCUAACGCAUAAGCACUCCGCCUGGGAAAACCGA